CCAUCUGUCGGCUGAUAUCGCACUCUAGCCUAUUAUGUCCAGCGACUUUGGCUUAAUCACUGACUGCCUACUGAUUCGCCCCUGUAUUUAACCACCGUGUUUCAGCGUACCUGCAGUUUCAGUACUUCAUUGCUAAUUAACUUCAGAUGCGAUGAUGAACCCACCCAAUAGCCCAUCAUCACCAUUCGUGAUUCGUCUGUCCGUCUGCAUUUCCUUCGCGAGCGACAGUGGCCAAUGAAACGUUUGGGUCGUCAUCGUAUCGCUCUGAAUGAGCUUAUCUUAUCCUAUGAGAGCACGCAUGCGGGUCUGUACGUUGUUAUUGUUACUCUCGCUGCGAGUAAAUUCGGUCGAUGUUUUUAUGAACUGUCAGAUGAUCGUAACCAAGGAGAAAACCGCACAGGAUCUUAAGGCCUGACUACCACUGUGACCCGAGUGCGCGGCUUGCUUCACGCCUUCGACUUCAGGACCUACGAAGCUAUAGAAGGUCAUUUACGUAAUGGAAUGAAAUAUAAAUGCUGCAGUGGGCCAUUGACAAUGUCGCCAUUUGCCAACGACGCUGUUGCCCCGUUUGAUCGUUCUAACAUGGAUCGGAUGUGUGGCUAAUCAAAUAUCUGAAAAAUCGACAGAUCACGCGGACGACAUGGGAAGUCAAGUGGCCUCAACAUCCGCCUACGUUUUUUUAUGCGCCAUUUACUUGGGUCCAGUAGAAAUUCCGGCUGAGCCGACAUUGGCCGGCGUAUUAGUUCGUAUUUGACCAUUCAUACGAGUCACUGGGUCCGGCCGUCGAUUUCAGACUAGCUACGACAAUAACGCCAGCUUAAAUCAUCUCAAUAUCGAUAACAAAAGCACAGAAAGGCGAAACAAUUUAGAUAUCGCCGACUGGCGGUGCAACGACGUCGUAUAAGUCAUUGUUUCCCGUGUUGUGAUCGUUUUCACGAAACUACUGUUAAGGAAUCAUUCACGUAAGAGCACACUGAACAAACGAGUAAGCAAGCAUCGGUUCUCGCCUGGAUGCGUGAGGCUGACUUCAGCCAGUAUUCGCUGAAUAGGGCCACUCGAUUUCUUUAUAGUUGUUUCCCAUUUGUCAGCAUAUCGACGCUACAUAUGUACGCAUACCCAAAAAAGCAUACAGAAAAUAGACUUGAAAAAACCUCACCAGCUCCUCACUAGCAGAGGGCUAUAUUGUUGAUUCGGACAAGCCAGCGGCCUGAGUAAACCUAAGUGGGACCUGUAUAUCGACAGCAUGCGUCAGGCAUAACAUACACAGGCGGGCACUUAUGCCACGCACUUACGCAUGCACUGAACAAAGCUGAAAACAAUACGCCACUUUAGGCCAGAAAACUCUAGGGAGAAAAAGCGUUUAGGGUUGAAAACACCAGAUAACAACGUGGCGCUCCUAACAACGAACCAAUGACCGAACGAGCAAAAGGGUCAAUAAGUCGAAGCCCGCUGUGAUUGAAAUUGAAUUGUCUAAGUGGAGCUCUCGCGUUGCCUCUUCUGCCGAGAAAUUCACCAGUAUCCCAACGCUAAACAGAACUAUGCCUGUCUAACCUACCAGCUGGCAGGUUGACCUAAUUGCAAAUGUAUGUUGAUGCGAGGAAUAUACAUACUGAACGUCGUCCUCCAUAGGCUAAUUACCAAGGCUCUGCCCCUCUCGAAUUGAGCGCCAGUGCAUGGGCAUCGAUCAUGCAUAAGUGGUUUAGGCCACUAAGUCGUUAUUCAUAGAGAACUCCUCUAAAACCCUACCUGCGUCUAAUACAUUGCAUAGUAACCGCUCUGAUAGAGACACGCACAAGUUCCGCGCACGUUAUUCAACUUCUUACAAUAUAGCUAUAUCUUGAAUGAAUUUCUCCGCUAAACGAUGCGACAUAGGGACUAGGGGUUUUCUCUUCAUUUAGUCUAAAACGAAUAGAAAAAAUAGCAUUGAAAACGUACGUAAUGGAUUGUCGAUGAAAAGUGCGAUUUCAGUGUAUUAUUUGCGUCGUGUUUGGCCAAAGCUAGUUAUUUUUAGGCAGCCUUCUUUUCGCUAUGAAGUUGAGACUACUUACAUCAAGGAGUCAAUAAGACACCGACAAAAACGACGCUGUCAAAGUGGAAAUCUAUUUCACUGGGCACGACAGGUGGCAACAGGCUGAGGAAACUAUAAGUUGUUAACCGUGCCCUCAAUGAACGUUGGUGGCAAUGCAACGUGACCUCAUUAAGAUACUGCAAUCACUAAAGCAUCGACAUGUAGAAGCUGCCCCUCUUAGAUACAUAAAGUACGUUGCAAUACUCGCUAUUCGAUUGCUUCCGGGUAAUGGAUAGUUGCCACUUCCACUUCCUUCUUCGGUAUGGAUCAUUAAAAUCGUAGUGGAUCUCUCCGAUGGGAUGAGCGAGCGGCUGAAGUACGCAAGACGAGUCUAAGUUGAAUGGCUGAUCUGUUUACUCGAAUGUUUCAUCGUAUUCUAAAGUUCUGCGCAUCUCCUAUAUUUUUUUUUCCGCUUAAGAAAUUUGACAUAUUCUGGCAAUACGAAGCAUGCUAAUUGAGCCGCUGAAACUCUCUGGAACCGUUUUGCAAGACGGAUUUCAUUCAAAUGAAAUUUUCUUUUGCAACGAGAGCGUGCGGAACGUAUGCACUUCAUUAGGAAACCCUUAUGCUGCCUUACUUCGUCUCCUCGGAAGUGAACAAGUGGAGUCGAUCGCUUUGAAUCUUCCGAAGACACUGCUCCGAAUACCCGGAGAGCAGGACCGACUCUGGCCUUCAAAGGAUCUUUUGCAGGGUAGACUCGUUUAAGCCGGGCUCAUGUAAGUGGGUUGAAGCACGGUUUGAAUAGAUAGUAGCUAGACAAACAGAUAAGUCCAUAUGAAUAAAUGUAUCGGUUUGCAUCGUGUACCUAACGGCUUUCGACGAACAUUAAUAGGUCCAAUCGGCAAUCCUAGUUAGCCGAUCGACUACUAUACUGUAUGUGGUACGGUGACUAUAAAGCCAUCGUCCUAUAUGACAUGACGGCUUCGUCUAUACUUCGUCAGCGGUAGCCACGAUACGAAUCUUGGAGAAACCACGACUGUGGUCACGCCUGCGCCAAGCAUCUUUGCAACAAAGACAAUAACCCAACAUGGAUUCAAUUGAAAUAUGUUCACACUUAUUAAGGAACUCUCAGUGGCGACGCAGGCCGUGAACGAGAUGUGACUUGUGUGAUGCUAUCGGACCGAGUUUCGAUCGAUUUUAGUUCGAUUGAUAUUGUAAAUUGAUUGCCUCCCCUGCCCUUCCGGCCACCCCAGUACGCAUGUAUCGUCCGUCACUGCAACAUGCCUUUCGAGAUAACACAGAGACACCCGUUCAUGAUCGCAAGAAAAGAUGGCUUCCCGCCCGCUGCGGAGAGGUUUGCAGAACACAUACGAGACAGAAUAACAUAAAAAUAGCGAAGCUAUCGAACUAGAGUAGAAGUUGGCGGUAACUUCAGCCACUUCAAAAUGACAACAAGGUGUGAGCCGAAAUUUUGGCGGAAUGAUCAAAUUGGACAAGACAAAAUUGAGUAAGCCACUGAGAGUGUAUUUGUAUGGACCGUCGUAGAUUUCGCCAAAAGCUGAUCCAACUCGCGAGAGAAACAAAGUAAGUUAUCUACACUGCAUGUAUUGUGUUCUUUGGCAAUGAAAACUUAAGUUAUUAACUUUUACACAUAUAUGUUGUAUAGUGUCAGAUCCUGUUGGUUUGCCUACAAAAUUCAGGAACACGUGAGCUGGUCGAAAUUCGAAAGCGGGCCUAUUUAUCGGAGACACCAGCCGUCCAAGGCUUAACGGGAAUAGCGGACUUAAAGGCUUUAUCUACCUAUUAACUAGUGUACUUCUGACUUAGUACUGCGAAACAGGCAGUUGGCUGGGUUGAAGUCAGGUGAAGAGGAGGCAGCCUAAAUCGACACUUCAACACAGGAUGAUAUUAAUCGGGUGCUAAUUGUAUCUAACAAACGUAUCUGUAAGCUAUUGAAGACCCGGCUUUUUUUUUCAAAACAAGCGACAACCGUUCCCCUGAACCCUCGGCGUUAAUAAAUGCAAAAAUGGAGAAACCUU